CACGUAGUUAGCCGUGACUUUCUGGUUGAUUACCGUCAAAUAAAGGCCAGUUACUACCUCUAUCCUUCUUCACCAACAACAGAGCUUUACGAUCCGAAAACCUUCUUCACUCACGCGGCGUUGCUCCAUCAGACUUGCGUCCAUUGUGGAAGAUUCCCUGCUGCUGCCUCCCGUAGGAGUUUGGGCCGUGUCUCAGUCCCAAUGUGGCCGAUCAGUCUCUCAACUCGGCUAUGCAUCGUCGCCUUGGUAAGCCGUUACCUUACCAACUAGCUAAUGCACCGCGGGGCCAUCCCUUAGUGACAGCUUACGCCGCCUUUCAAAAGCUGAUCAUGCGAUCUGCUUUAUUAUCUGGUAUUAGCACCUGUUUCCAAAUGGUAUCCCAGACUUAGGGGCAGGUUCCCCACGUGUACUCACCCAUCCGCGCUCGCUUCCACGUCAUUACCAAGUAAUCUGUUGGUCCGCUCGCUCGACUUGCAUGUAUUAGGCACGCCGCCA
rnacentral:rRNA from 1 species